GAUGAACGCUGGCGGCGUGCCCAAUACAUGCAAGUCGAGCGAACAGACGAGGAGCUUGCUCCUCUGACGUUAGCGGCGGACGGGUGAGUAACACGUGGAUAACCUACCUAUAAGACUUGGAUAACUUCGGGAAACCGGAGCUAAUCCCGGAUAAUAUAUUGAACCGCAUGGUUCAAUAGUGAAAGACGGUUUUGCUGUCACUUAUAGAUGGAUCCGCGCCGCAUUAGCUAGUUGGUAAGGUAACGGCUUACCAAGGCGACGAUGCGUAGCCGACCUGAGAGGGUGAUCGGCCACACUGGAACUGAGACACGGUCCAGACUCCUACGGGAGGCAGCAGUAGGGAAUCUUCCGCAAUGGGCGAAAGCCUGACGGAGCAACGCCGCGUGAGUGAUGAAGGUCUUCGGAUCGUAAAACUCUGUUAUUAGGGAAGAACAAAUGUGUAAGUAACUAUGCACGUCUUGACGGUACCUAAUCAGAAAGCCACGGCUAACUACGUG
rnacentral:rRNA from 1 species